UACGUAGGGGGCAAGCGUUGUCCGGAUUUAUUGGGCGUAAAGAGCGUGUAGGCGGCUUGGCAAGUCCGCUGUGAAAACUCGAGGCUCAACCUCGAGACGUCGGUGGAAACUGCCUCGCUAGAGUCCGGAAGAGGAGAGUGGAAUUCCUGGUGUAGCGGUGAAAUGCGCAGAUAUCAGGAAGAACACCCGUGGCUAAGGCGGCUCUCUGGUACGGUACUGACGCUGAGACGCGAAAGCGUGGGGAGCGAACAGG
rnacentral:rRNA from 1 species